GGGAGGCCAAGACGGGCAGAUCACCUGAGGCCAGGAGUUCGAAACCAGCCAGGCCAACAUGGCAAAACCCUGUCUCUACUAAAAAAUACACAAAUUAGCCAGGCAUGGUGGCACAUGCCUAUAAUCCCAGAUACUUGGGAUUGGAAGGAGGAAGGAGAAUCGCUUGAAGGAGGGAGGAGGGAGGAAAGAGAAUAGCUUGAAUCUGGGAGGCGGAGGUUGCAGUAAGCAGAGGUCGUGCCGCCGCACUCCAGCCUGGGCAACGGAGUAAGACUCUGUCUCAAAAAACAAAACAAAACAAAACAAAACACCAAGAAAGAAAAAAAAUGAAAAAGAAGAGCAAAGAAGAGCCAGUAGAGUUCUCCAUGCACCUGCUCCAGGUAUAGACCCCAGGACUUUUGAGGGGCAGAUGAGGAUGCGAGCUCAUAGUUUCUGAGUGAAGAAACUGAGGCUAAGGAGGGUAAAAACUCUAUCCCAGUCACCAAGAGGUAUGACAUUAGGAACAUACUGUCAAGAAAAGGAUGAUGCGUGUGCUGCAAAAUGCAGGACAAUUCACUUUCCAGGUGGGGUCUGGGGCCUGUGGCUUCUCUGUGAACUUUCUUUGUGUGCUGUGGAAUAUUUUCCAGCUGCAGCCUAUUGUCCUGUGAUUAGACUCUGGGGCUCCACAGGAUCUUGAUGACUAGCAUUUGGAGGAACACACCUUGGGAAAUGGUGAUUCUGUCCAAACUUUUUGUGUUAUGGCUGUGAGAAAUAGACUUACAGAAGGAGAUGUCCGCCCCACAUCUCUAAACUCAUGGGUGGAAACUCAGGCUAAGACGGCACCUAGAAUGUGGUCCAGCACAUUGAGAAUAGAGCAGAAGAUGAAAGCUGGAGGGGCUGAGGGGCCUUGGAGG
rnacentral:lncRNA from 1 species